CACUGAGUUGACUAAAAAGUUUGUUCAGGUCUUUCCAUUAAGAUGUUAUGGAAAAACCCAAAUGAACUUUUGGCCAACCCA
rnacentral:miRNA from 1 species